UACGUAGGUGACAAGCGUUGUCCGGAUUUACUGGGCGUAAAGAGCGCGCAGGCGGUCGAUCAAGUCGAGUGUGAAAGCCCCCGGCUCAACUGGGGAGGGUCAUUCGAUACUGAUCGACUCGAAGGCAGGAGAGGGUAGUGGAAUUCCUGGUGUAGCGGUGAAAUGCGCAGAUAUCAGGAGGAACACCGAUGGCGAAGGCAGGUCUCUGGGCCGAUACUGACGCUGAGGAGCGAAAGCGUGGGGAGCGAACAGG
rnacentral:rRNA from 1 species